GCAUAAUAGACUUUUAAUUUAGUACCGGUCUGUAAUAGAAAUAUAUUCCAAGACAAAAUGUACGUUUGCAGUAAUUGCAAAUAAUAAAAGUAACCCUUUUAAGAUGAAAGAGUAGAAACAAAUCUGGAAUAAAGAGAGAAGUGAGAUGUUUAUCAAAGUCUUAACACAAAAAAAAAUUAUAACAUUCGAGAAUUGACACCAUUGUAAAAUAUUUAAAACUGCAAUUCCUGUGUAAACUGGAACAUAAAACCUGCACACUAAGCUUUGAAAAAUGUGCCAUAAUUACAACAUAAAUCAAGAUUCCUAGCUGCCACCCCAAACAUUACACCACUGUAUCAUUGUUGUAACAAACC
rnacentral:lncRNA from 1 species